rnacentral:rRNA from 1 species
CCUACGGGAGGCAGCAGUGAGGAAUAUUGGUCAAUGGGCGCAAGCCUGAACCAGCCAAGUCGCGUGAGGGAUGACGGUCCUAUGGAUUGUAAACCUCUUUAGGCGGGGAGCAAUGCCGGGCACGUGUGCCCGGAGGGAGAGUACCCGCAGAAUAAGCAUCGGCUAACUCCGUGCCAGCCGCCGCGGUAAUACGGAGGAUGCGAGCGUUAUCCGGAUUUAUUGGGUUAAAAGGGUGCGUAGGCGGAGUUUUAAGUCAGCGGUAAAAUGUCCGGGCUCAACACGGGCCGGCCGUUGAAACGGGGGAUCUUGAGUGGGCGAGAAGUAAGCGGAAUGCGUGGUGUAGCGGUGAAAUGCAUAGAUAUCACGCAGAACUCCGAUUGCGAAGGCAGCAUACCGGCGCCCGACUGACGCUGAGGCACGAAAGCGUGGGGAUCGAACAGGAUUAGAUACCCUAGUAGUC